UACGUAGGGGGCAAGCGUUGUCCAGAUUUAUUGGGCGUAAAGAGCGUGUAGGCGGCCAGGUAGGUCCGUUGUGAAAACUCGAGGCUCAACCUCGAGACGUCGGCGGAAACCCUCUGGCUAGAGUCCGGAAGAGGAGAGUGGAAUUCCUGGUGUAGCGGUGAAAUGCGCAGAUAUCAGGAAGAACACCCGUGGCUAAGGCGGCUCUCUAGUACGGUACUGACGCUGAGACGCGAAAGCGUGGGGAGCGAACAGG
rnacentral:rRNA from 1 species